UUCUUUUUUUUUUUUUUCAAAUGCCCCUUUCAUUAUGAAACUCUUUUUUAACUUUUAAUUUAAGUUCAGGGGUAUGUGUGCAGAUUUGUUACAUAGGUAAACUUGUGUCAUGGGGCUUUGUUGUACAGAUUGUUUCAUCACCCAGGUAUUAUUUUAUUUUCAUUUUAGUUUUUUAAAUUUCUUUUUAGAGGCGGGGUCUCACUGUGUUUUGCCCAGGCUGGUCUCGAACUCCUCCUGGUCUCAAGCAAUCCUCUCGCCUCUGCCUCCCCAAGUGUUGGGAUUAUAGGCAUGAGCUACUGCACUCAGCCCACCAUUUGUUUUAAAAAGGGUGGAUCCUAUUUGUAUAAAAAGCCAUGUGCAUUUUCUGUGUACUUGUCUACACAUUAAUUUCCAGGCUGGGCGUGGUGGCUCACGCUUGUAAUCCCAGCACUUUGGGAGGCCAAGGGGAGGCAGAUCAUGAGGUUAGGAGAUCGAAACCAUCCUGGCUAACACGGUGAAACCCCGUCUCUACUAAAAAUACAAAAACAAAAUUAGCAGGGUGUUGUGGCGGGCGCCUGUAGUCCCAGCUACUCAGGAGGCUGAGGCAGGAGAAUGGCAUGAACCCGGGAGGUGGAGCUUGCAGUGAGCUGAGAUUGCGCCACUGCCCUCCAGCCUGGACAACAGAGUGAGGCUCCGUCUUAAAGGAAAAAAAUUUCUGGAAUGAUGUCCAAUAAAUCAGAGAGAGGGACUAGAAGACUAAUGAGGACAGAAGCUUUUAUUCUUAACACCUAUAUUUUGCUACCAUUUAUAUUGUCAUCAUAUGCAUAUAACAUUUUAACAUUUAAAAACUAGUUUAAACAGAAAUGGUUGCCCUGGAAUGUGGCCUGUGUUCUUUCAAGGGAGGCCAGCAGUUUCUACAGUGGCUGAGAUGGUACCUUCAUCUCACACACCUACGCAGGAGUGCAUUUGUGCUUUGAUGUGGUUGUCCCUUGAAGAAGGAAGCAGUUCUCUUUUUCUUUUUUCCCUUUUCCAUUAUAGGAUCAGUCACUUCUUGGGGCAUUAGUAGUCUCAUUUCCAGUGGCAUCUUCCCUUGGCAAAAGGAAUCCCAGAUAGGACCUCAUCUUUCUAAACAAAUGCUGUUUUGGGUCCUAACCAUCCCAUGUUUGCUUUGAAUAUGUUUAAGUUGCCUGGAAUUAUCAACAAAAGAAUUAAAUUUAUUGUAGGUCAGGGCAUCUUUUGACUCAUUGUAUAAAACAUUCACUUUAAAUGUAUACCGAAAUGUCCUUUAGGCCGGGCGCAGUGGCAUGAGCCAUGACACCCGGCCUGUAAUUUUCUUUAAAGACUGCCACUGGGUGGAACCCACUGGGCCCAGUGAGAACUACGGAAAAGAGACCCAUUCUUGCCCUCAUUGUUAGUGUCCACAUCCGGAUUUACCUAAACCCCACCCAGGUGGCAUUUGCAUAGUAAUGAAAAACCGGUAUUUUCUAGCUGUGAAUCACACUUCAAAUCCUGAGCGGCUGACUGUCAGGGGUGCGUCAGGCCUGCUUGCUGGGAGAAUGGACGAGCUGGUUGUGGAGCGGGCGGGUCCCGCCACCCGUGGGCUCAGCACUGGACUGCUCCCAGAACAUUAAAGGUCUGGCUGAUGUUCCAUGCCACAUCUGGACAUGAAGACCCAUGUCUGCCCUUCUGUAGAAGGGCCAAAGAAGAAAGGAGGCAUCACAUGUUUCUGCUGUGGGGGGCCCUUCCGAGCAGCAGACAGGAGCAAGGUACAGGAGUGGCCUGAUUCUGGGGUUUCCCUGCCCCCCCUGGGGUCCCUAAACUGCUGUGUGAUAUGUUUCUAACUAUCUGGACAGCUCACCCAAGAGUCAGUUGUUCCCAGUCGCUUCUUGCUGAGGAUAAGCCAAAAGAGGGCCGGGGGCCAAUCUGGUUUCUUUCAAGUGAAAUUAUGCUUCUCAAGCAGAGAAUGAUUGCCCACAGCAGUUAAACCUUGUUUAAUGGUAAUUAAAUUGCUUUUCUUCACUUUGAAAAAUCUCUUAAUUUUCUGUACAAAGGCAGGAAGCAUUUUUCUUUGAUUCUACAGGAUGUUUCUAAGUAUGGUGUAAUCAGUUCAUCUUACCUUGCCGGGCUCUGAAAGAAUGAGUGUGUGGGAUCAGAUUUAGAAAUGCCUCAAAGGUUAGAAAGCCGAGUGCUGCCGAUUAACUCAAGCUCAGAUGACC
rnacentral:lncRNA from 1 species